rnacentral:rRNA from 1 species
CCCUUGGCGGCAGCUACACAUGCAGUCGAGCGGUAGCACAGAGAGCUUGCUCUCGGGUGACGAGCGGCGGACGGGUGAGUAAUGUCUGGGAAACUGCCUGAUGGAGGGGGAUAACUACUGGAAACGGUAGCUAAUACCGCAUAACGUCGCAAGACCAAAGUGGGGGACCUUCGGGCCUCAUGCCAUCAGAUGUGCCCAGAUGGGAUUAGCUAGUAGGUGGGGUAACGGCUCACCUAGGCGACGAUCCCUAGCUGGUCUGAGAGGAUGACCAGCCACACUGGAACUGAGACACGGUCCAGACUCCUACGGGAGGCAGCAGUGGGGAAUAUUGCACAAUGGGCGCAAGCCUGAUGCAGCCAUGCCGCGUGUGUGAAGAAGGCCUUCGGGUUGUAAAGCACUUUCAGCGGGGAGGAAGGCGUUGAGGUUAAUAACCUUGUCGAUUGACGUUACCCGCAGAAGAAGCACCGGCUAACUCCGUGCCAGCAGCCGCGGUAAUACGGAGGGUGCAAGCGUUAAUCGGAAUUACUGGGCGUAAAGCGCACGCAGGCGGUCUGUCAAGUCGGAUGUGAAAUCCCCGGGCUCAACCUGGGAACUGCAUUCGAAACUGGCAGGCUAGAGUCUUGUAGAGGGGGGUAGAAUUCCAGGUGUAGCGGUGAAAUGCGUAGAGAUCUGGAGGAAUACCGGUGGCGAAGGCGGCCCCCUGGACAAAGACUGACGCUCAGGUGCGAAAGCGUGGGGAGCAAACAGGAUUAGAUACCCUGGUAGUCCACGCCGUAAACGAUGUCGAUUUGGAGGUUGUGCCCUUGAGGCGUGGCUUCCGGAGCUAACGCGUUAAAUCGACCGCCUGGGGAGUACGGCCGCAAGGUUAAAACUCAAAUGAAUUGACGGGGGCCCGCACAAGCGGUGGAGCAUGUGGUUUAAUUCGAUGCAACGCGAAGAACCUUACCUGGUCUUGACAUCCACAGAACUUUCCAGAGAUGGAUUGGUGCCUUCGGGAACUGUGAGACAGGUGCUGCAUGGCUGUCGUCAGCUCGUGUUGUGAAAUGUUGGGUUAAGUCCCGCAACGAGCGCAACCCUUAUCCUUUGUUGCCAGCGGUUAGGCCGGGAACUCAAAGGAGACUGCCAGUGAUAAACUGGAGGAAGGUGGGGAUGACGUCAAGUCAUCAUGGCCCUUACGACCAGGGCUACACACGUGCUACAAUGGCAUAUACAAAGAGAAGCGACCUCGCGAGAGCAAGCGGACCUCAUAAAGUAUGUCGUAGUCCGGAUUGGAGUCUGCAACUCGACUCCAUGAAGUCGGAAUCGCUAGUAAUCGUAGAUCAGAAUGCUACGGUGAAUACGUUCCCGGGCCUUGUACACACCGCCCGUCACACCAUGGGAGUGGGUUGCAAAAGAAGUAGGUAGCUUAACCUUCGGGAGGGCGCUACCACUUUAUUACGGCC